UGACCCCAUGCCGAACUCAGAAGUGAAACGCCGUAGCGCCGAUGGUAGUGUGGGGUCUCCCCAUGCGAGAGUAGGGAACUGCCAGGCAUCAAAUUAAGCGAAAGGCUAUCCGUCAGGAU
rnacentral:rRNA from 1 species